rnacentral:rRNA from 1 species
UACAGAGGGUGCAAGCGUUGCUCGGAAUUACUGGGCGUAAAGCGUGAGUAGGCGGCCUGUCAAGUGGGUGUGAAAGCCCUGGGCUCAACCUGGGAACUGCAUCCAGAACUGCCAAGCUAGAGUAUGGUAGAGGGCAGUGGAAUUUCCGGUGUAGCGGUGAAAUGCGUAGAGAUCGGAAGGAACACCAGUGGCGAAGGCGACUGCCUGGACCAAUACUGACGCUGAGGUGCGAAAGCGUGGGGAGCAAACAGGAUUAGAUA